GGGCAGCGGGGCUGGGCUGGGCUCGGGGCCGCGCUGGCGCGGCGGCUGCUCCGAGGGAGGCCGCUGCAGCGUCCUGAGCGGGGACUGGCCGCCGCGUGCGCUCUCUUCCCCGAUUGGUCCGCCUACGGGCCGGAGCCCGCGCUGCAAGGUCAAGGCUGCGGGAGCCGUGCUCGCUGGGAGCCUGCGGGCGGGCGGGCGGGCGGGCAGGCAAGUGCGCUGGAGCCAGCGCUGGGGCCACCAGUCAGUGGCAGGCACUCCAAACCAGUGGCCAGUGGGGAAAGCUUGGCCCCGGCCCCGGCCCCGGCCCCAGCGCGAAGAUGAAGACGUGAACUUGACUCUGAGAGCACAAGUGACAGCCAGGCUAGCGCAGGGAGCAGAGGGGCAGGUGAAGCACGGCUCCUCAGGGCUGCAAUGAGCGGGGUCACAGCAAGAACACCGGUCGCUGCCGGGUCGGUAGCUGGCCCCGGGACCGUGCCGCUCGGCGCUGCAUGUGUGGGCACGAAGAGAGGUAUCUGCGCUUGGGGCUGGGCUCAAGCUGGCUCAACAGCUAACCUGAUGGGAACCAGCCAAAAUUUGCAAGAGUACACGCGUCUCUUACACGCUACCUGAAUCAGAAGCAUCUACUUUACCAAAUGCCUUCUUGCUUCGGUGUUAAAAAAGUGUCCAUUCCCUCUUUCCAGCCACAUGCCCUGGAAAGGCACGACGUGUUUUCCCCAAUAUUUAAAAGACGUAAUACGUUGGAAAAUAUCGUUCUCUUUAGAAAUAAAAAUAUUUUACAACCAAUUAAAUAACGACACUGAGAAAAGACGCUGGCCUCCCCCGCCCCGCCCCGCCCCGCCCCCCCCGACUGAGCAGCCCCUCACGGAGGACACGGGCAGAGCUGCCUAAAAGCCUGCGGACAUUACAUUAAACGGGCAACGGGGGCAGGCCCACAGCUGGACUUGCCCCGGCCCCGGCCCCGGCCCCGGCCCCGCACACGGGCGCGCCCUUCCCCUGCGGCAGAGGCUGGGUGUGGGCGGGGCUUGCGGCGCGGUUCUGGGCGUGCUCGGGCAGCGGCUCCCGGCGCAGCCGGGCUGGGCAGCAGGGGCCGGGCUACCGCGCCGGCUGCUCCGAAGGAAGCGGCUGAAGCGUCUUGCGCGCUGAUUGGCCCCGCGUGCGCUCUCUGCCCUGAUUGGCACGCCUGCUGCAUCCUGGAAUCAAUGCGGACACCGCAUAUAUGUACAAUGACCAUGACACCAGCAGUGGCUUGCUCCUCCUUCUGGCAGCUCUACCGGGUGUCCUGGCCCAGGUCACACUGAAGGAGUCUGGCCCAGGGGUUGUGAAGCCCAGAGAGACCCUCAGACUGACCUGCACCGUGUCUGGAUUCUCUCUCACUAGCAGUGAUGUGAGCUGGGUUCGGCAGGAAGCAGGGAAAGGGCUGGAGUGGGUCGGAGAUAGCUGGAGUGGUGGAAACACCUAGUAUAAGAGCGCUCUCCAAAGCCGCCUCACCAUCAGCAGAGACACGUCCAGCAGCCAAGUGCACCUGCGCCUGACCGGGGUCCAACCUGGAGACACAGCCCGGUAUUACUGUGUCAGAUACACAGUGAAUGAAAAUGCAUGCGAGCCUGCACAAAAACCAGCCCUGCAGGACCUGCCCACCUGUGUGAGCAGCAGAGGCAGCAGCUGCCAGCCCGUGCUCCGCUGCCUGCUGGGUCGGACACAUCAGGCCUUUUAGAUCACUUGAACGAGCCAGGGAUUAAAUCCAGGGAACGAGGCUCAAAAGCGUCCAAUCGGUCAGAAUCUGAUAUUUAGGAAGAGUUCUGCUUCAUCAUGCCCCUGUUCUGCCUGUCCUUCUUGCAGGAAUACAAGGCAAAGACUCCCUAGGCUGACACCCAGGACGAAGGCAAUAGCCAGCAGACUGCUGUGCUGUUACAGGACUAGGGACACAGCUUUGUAGUCCUGAUGUUGGUCCUGGACUUGAUUAGCACUCUCCAAUUAACAGCUGACAAUAGUCUGGUUCCAGGUGACCACAGGCACAUCAUUCACCACCGUAUCAAUCCAACAAGUGCUUGUACUAUGAGUAAUCAGGCUGUUCACACACUGUUGUGUAACUGGAACAUACUGAAUGGUUUAUUAAUAAUGAAAUAAUAAAUACACAACAGGUACAUUAAAUAACAGCACUAACCAGGAACGAAGCCCACACCCAAUACAACUAUUUUUAUUAUUCCUAAAACCUAUACCUAUCUGAUCUCAUACCUAUUUUAAAAUGUGUUCACCACAAUCACUAGCACCUCAGAUUCAAUAUCAACUCGGGGGUGAAUAUGGACUUUUUUAUGUGAGCUGUAAACUUUAUUCAACUCUGGAUCUCUGCCGUUCCAACACAGGGAACAUAUACCACACUGAAAGGGAUGAGCCGAUGGCAGCUUAUCUUCCACUUUAAGGAAGGGAGGAGAAAGGAACAAGUGAUGGGUGGGUGGUACUUACCCCAGAGGGUGGAGGGUUGCUACUUAAGUGCUAUGCACCCCUGCAGAGAGAAACUGGGGAGACCACCAUAAGCAAUCUUACUGGGAGUCUCAGGCUUCGAGGUCACUGGGGAUGAAUGCUAGCUCUAUGGCAGCCUCGCUGUCAAGGGUGUGCUUGCCUCAUCCAACCUCCAUGGUCACGGCACAGCCCAAGGCACAACACCAUACAACGAUCACCCACACCAAUGCACCAAUACACCAGAAAGCCACUUCCACCUCGUUCAUUCACCAUGAUUCUAUCAGUCUCUCUCUCUCUCUCUCACAGGUAUCAAUCAACAAAACCAAACAGCAAACCAUGAAACCCACUAGCCACACCACACACGUACCACUCACACCCAGGCAUGCUAUCACGUACUCACGUGCUAAG